rnacentral:misc_RNA from 1 species
GCAAACUUGGUCAUUUAGAGGAAGUAAAAGUCGUAACAAGGUUUCCGUAGGUGAACCUGCGGAAGGAUCAUUACCGAGUGCGGACCCCUCGCGGGUCCAACCUCCCACCCGUGUCUCUUGUAUACCCUGUUGCUUUGGCGGGCCCACCGGGGCCACCCCGGUCGCCGGGGGGCGAGCACGCCCCCGGGCCCGCGCCCGCCAGAGCGCUCUGUGAACCCUUAUGAAGAUGGACUGUCUGAGUGUCUUGAUAAUAAUCAAAACUUUCAACAAUGGAUCUCUUGGUUCCGGCAUCGAUGAAGAACGCAGC